rnacentral:rRNA from 1 species
UGGGGUGAAUAUUUCCGACAUGGGCGGCAAGCCUGAUGCCAGCCAUGCCCGCGUGUAUGAUGAAGGCCUUCGGGUUGUAAAGUACUUUUGGCGGGAAGAAAGGGUUGCUCCUAAUACCGGAUACUGCUGACGGUAUCUGCAGAAUAAGCACCGGCUAACUACGUGCCAGCAGCCGCGGUAAUACGGAGGGUGCAAGCGUUAAUCGGAAUUACUGGGCGUAAAGCGUGUGCAGGCGGUUGAUUAAGUUAGAUGUGAAAUCCCCGGGCUUAACCUGGGAACGGCAUUUUUAACUGGCGAGCUAGAGUAUGGCAGAGGGGGGUAGAAUUCCAUGUGUAGCGGUGAAAUGCGUAGAUAUGUGGAGGAAUACCGAUGGCGAAGGCGGCCCCCUGGGAUAAUACUGACGCUCAGACACGAAAGCGUGGGGAGCAAACAGGAUUAGAUACCCCUGUAGUCCUGUCUCUUAUAAAAAUCUCCGAGCCCCCAAAACAAAAAACAC